AAACCAGCACCUCAAGUGGUCAGGAGGAUUAUUGGGCCUAAAGCAUCCGUAGCCUGCUGCAUAAGUUUUCGGUUAAAUCCAUACGCUCAACGUAUGGGCUGCCGGGAAUACUGUGCAGCUAGGGAGUGAGAGAGGUAGACGGUACUCGGUAGGAAGGGGUAAAAUCCUUUGAUCUAUUGAUGACCACCUGUGGCGAAGGCGGUCUACCAGAACACGUUCGACGGUGAGGGAUGAAAGCUGGGGGAGCAAACCGAAUUAGAAACCCCAGUAGUCC
rnacentral:rRNA from 1 species